rnacentral:rRNA from 1 species
GACGAACGCUGGCGGCGUGCUUAACACAUGCAAGUCGAACGGAAAGGCCCUGCUUGCAGGGUACUCGAGUGGCGAACGGGUGAGUAACACGUGGGUGAUCUGCCCUGCACUUCGGGAUAAGCCUGGGAAACUGGGUCUAAUACCGGAUAGGAGCCAUUUUUAGUGUGAUGGUUGGAAAGUUUUUUCGGUGUAGGAUGAGCUCGCGGCCUAUCAGCUUGUUGGUGGGGUAAUGGCCUACCAAGGCGGCGACGGGUAGCCGGCCUGAGAGGGUGGACGGCCACAUUGAGACUGGGACACGGCCCAGACUCCGACGGGAGGCAGAAGUGGGGAAUAGUGCACAAGGGGCGUAAGCCUGAGGCAGCGACGCCGCGGGGGGGAUGACGGCGUACGGGUUGGAAACUCCUUGCGCUAGUGACGAAGCUGUUUGUGACGGUACCUAGAGAAGAAGCACCGGCUAACUACGUG